rnacentral:rRNA from 1 species
AUGCAGCCCCCCUUUGACCCAACCCUAACCGCCUGCCUCGCCGCCCCGCCCUCCCCUCAGUCUCCCUUCAUCAUCGUUGCUGGCCGCUGCCCCGAUCAUCCCUCUAAGCCCCGCCGCACCAGCGAAGAACUCCGGCGAUCCUCUCGAACGGUCGUUGGCCGAAUUUUAUUAGAAAGAAGGGAAGAGUACAAAGUUUCCAGCUUGUUCGGACAUCGGAGUGGCUCUCAGCAAAAAAGAAAAAAUGUGACUAGUCUGGACGAAUCAACCAAAGAGACAUCAUCCAGAAAUAAGAAUGGCAGUCACUCCCGGGCUCUCACAGCGAUCAGGCACUCUCGGCCGUUGGAUCUGUUUUACCAGUCGCUGCUGACCGUUCGAUUGCGGCCCCGAGUGACAUCGUUCGUUGGAUAUUUCAUCAAUCGAUCGAUUAGGCACUCUCGGCCGUCGGAUCUGUUUUACCAGUCGCUGCUGACCGUUCGAUCGCGGCUCCGAGUAACAUCGUCCGUUGGAUAUUUCAUCAAUCGCCCGCCCCCCGAAGAUGACCUAGGCGCCGCUUCCUCCCCCACUCCUGCCGCCCAUCCCCUCUUGCUCCCACCUCAUCCUUCCAAACCCUACCCCGCUCGCCUCCCUACCCAGCCGCCGCCAUCUCCUUCGCCGCCGGGAGCUCGACCGGGAUGCCUGCUCACGCUCACGGAGGCCGAGGCGGCCGCGCUGCUCUGGUUCGCGCUCCACCUACGCCGCCGGCCGGAGGGGGCCGCGGCGGCGGCCGUGCAGCCCGGCGACCAGGAGCUCGUCGGCGCGGUUCCCUCGACGGAUGGAUGCCUGCUCGCGCUCACGGAGGCCGAGGCGGCCGCGCUGCUCUGGUUCGCAUUCCUAGAGUUCGCGGAGCCUGACGCCACUACUUCCUUCCCAUCCCCCGCCCCGUUCCUCUCUCUCUCCUGGCUGAGCCUGACGCCACCACUGCUCCCCUCCUCAAGGUCGCCCCAAGCCGUCAUUGCUCGGUUGGCUCCUGUCCAUGCCUCGCGCUUCUGGCAGCUCCUCGAGGUCGUCGUGCCCUACUCCAGGGCCUCCAUGGCACAGCUACUCGGCAAGUUGCCCCUGCAGUUCACAAGCAAGCAGGUCGUAGAGGACAUGUCACUGGCUAUGUUCAACCGUGCCCUAAAGCUUUAUGGACCAGGUCUACAAGUCAGGGGUGUUGGAUUUACUGGGUCACUCGCUAGCUCAUGCCCAAAACAUGGUGACCACAGGGAUCCAACCACAACUACAUCAUGGAAGGGGCCAAGGAUCAGCGACCCUAUACACAUCAGCAAUGACAAAGGUAUCGUCAUAUACAUUAUAGAACUGCUGCCACAAGAAAUAAACAGUGGUGGUCUUUUCAGAGAACUACAGUCGCAAGAAAAAGACCUAGAGUUUCAGUUGCAUGAAGCAAUCCAUGCUUGUGGUGUGAUAUUACCUUUGACAGAAGAAGGUGAUAUCAUCAUGACUCCAACAACUCCACUUACGCAUCCAGCAAUCUUGCAGGGAAUAGUUCUAAACCAUCGGCUUCAGUUGGCAUGUUACCUGAGGUCAUACUUCCCAUUACAGGCCGACGAGACGGCAGAUUCGGUUAGUGAGAAGAUCGUCCAAAAGAACAUCGUCGAGAAAGACGAGCUGAUGCAAAGAGAAAUAGUGUGCAGUACAAUUGUAUCAAAUCUAUUGGCAUUUGUCAUUAUGCUUAUUGAUAUAUCUCCUCCCUCCCUGGACUAUUAUUGUAGCUUCUCGUGGCCAGGGGCGCAAUUGCCUUUGAAGAUGUAUAGCGGUGGUGCAUACGAACUAAUCUUCCUGUUCGUACUCCUACAUUGCAUAUCUGAACUUGGCCAAGAAUGGCCCAAUGCUUCUCUUGCCUCAGAGGCAUGUUCAUAUGAAGCAAAUAAAAGGCAUGCAGUUCUUUACGAUUUGAGCUGCCACCCCUCCGGCCUGCCCGGCGGCGGCACACUGCUCUGCCAGCCGCCCCUGAGCCCACGCGGCUUGCCGGAUCAUGCGCCUCCCCAGAGUGCCACCCACGCUAACCUGAGAUCCGCCUCUGCAGGACGUGAUGGCCAGAUCGCCGGAAGCCCCUACCCCGACCCCAAGGUUGCUGGCAGCGUCAACCCCGACGGCGAGGUCACCGUCACCCCCAACCUUGACGCCCAGGUCAGCAGAAGGUGGUACAAGGACCGGCUGUUAAACAUACAUGUGCCAACAUGUGUCACGGCGCAGCAUUGCUUGGCAGCCAAGGCUUUGGAGUAG